GGAGAUAGCUUAAUUGUUAAAGCACUGGACUUGUGUGCCAGAGCUUCUCAGUUCAAUUCCCAGCUCCA
rnacentral:tRNA from 1 species